GCCAGUAGGGUGUAAGUGCCUGUUACUGGGGCCUUCAGGAUGAGCUUCCUGUGAUGGUAGGAGGAGGAAGCUAGAAUAAGGCCAACAGCAACAGCCUUUGGAGAAGGACGGAGCUGGGAUCCCGAAUCCCGAGGCUAGGCACAGGCACACAGCUGGCGACGUCAAGGACACUGGCCAGAACCCAUUGGUACAGGUGGACUAAGGCAGCCAGUGAUGACGAUCUUGUUCCCCGAGUGGAUUUCUCGGAUUACAGGAAAGGACAAGAAGAGAACUUGAACCAGAGUCUCCGAAGUUUUGGAUGCCCCGCCCUGCACCACAGCGCCCCCUUCUGGCCAGAGGGGAAACUUCCGGCGGAGGCCCAGCUGCACGGAGCUCGGAGCCUGAUGGAGGCAGCAGGUGGAUCCUGACCAUGGAGACAGAGACCUGUGCGUCUGAAUCUCUGGACACCAUUCGGCCCCCAGGCGGCUGCUCCCUGUGCGUCUCUGUGUUUUCUACAGGUCGGUGCCCCUGCAGAAUACUUCUGCUCCUUUUCCAACAGGUAACGUGGAGAAUGCAGAAAAACAGAGAAGCAAAAAUAAAACUCACCUGCAAGCCAGCCCCCAAGAUAUAAAUCGCAUUCGUGUUUGCAGCACCUCCUUCUGAAUUUUGAGUAUAUCGUUGGAUUUAUACUUGACUGUAACAUUACAUUCUAUUUUGUUGCUUGACGUUGCAUUACGGGUGUGUUAUGGAAUGUCUUCCAAACACUCUUUUUAAUGGGCUUAUCUCAGUCUGGCCUGUGGCUGGUCAUCCAUCUAUAAUUUCUAUAGCCGUUCUCCCUUGCUGGACAUUGGAUUGUUUUGAAGUUUACUCUUUUGAAAAAGGAACAAGGAAAAGCUUGUACGUGAAUCUUUUCCUUGGGGUGGAGUCCUGACAGUGAAAUCACCAGGCAAAGGAUCCAAAAAGGUUUUUUUUUUUUUAGGAAGAUUAACCCUGAGCUGACAUCUGCCAAUCCUCCUCUUUUUGCUGA